rnacentral:lncRNA from 1 species
AUCCCACUACCACCAGUCCAUCGUGUCCUUGUUCUUCGCAAAGAGCUAUGGAAGGGAAAAACCGUUCGCUCCCCUCGCUUUUGCGAACAAGCGGUAAGUUGUCUAUCAUUCUUUCUCUCUUCUCUCACAAGCAAUCUAAAGUAAGCUGUUUUAAUGGCAAAUGGCAGAAUCUUGUCUGAACUCGUCCCACUAAAAGAUACAAUUCCUCACAUCGCUAACACUAAUUAUGUAAAAUUCGAACGUUCUUCUUCAAUUUUGAGUUUUUUUUUUUUUUUAGUUUAUCUUUUAAUAAUCUAUAACCUUGAAUAUAAAACCCAGGUCUUGGUUUGAAGUCGAAGGAACUCAGUGAAUUGGAAAAGGAAGAAAUUAAUUGAAACUUCUUGGAAAUGAAUGAAUGAAUUAGUAAGUGGUUCUUAUUUGUGCAAUUUUUACCUCUUAUAGAAUCUGGAGAAGUGAAUUUGUGCUCAUUACUAUUAAAUUACAGGGAAUACAGGUUAAUUGGGAGGUGAGUUAUUCGACAAAUUGGUGAAGGAGAUACAGAGACGCCUUAUCUAGAAUCGGAAGAUUAACAAAUUGUCCAACAGUUUCUUUGAAGUGGUAAGCAUACACUAAUUAGCUUUUAAUUGAACAUUUGUUUUCUUUUAAUUCACUUGAGUUGACAUGGACCUAGAAAAGAGAAGCUCAUUUUGGCGAGGGCAAGUUAUUUUUUGGCACCUAGAUUAGGGUAAUAGUUUUAUUAGUGAGUGGUUGGGCAAAUGAUCUGCACCAAGCCACCAACCCUUAAUCACCAAAAUUGAGUAGUUUCUUUUUCUUUUUCCCUAGUGGGUGUAUUGUAUAUGCAGAAAUAUGGCUAGGCUUCUGGUUGGUACUUGAUAAUGGGGUUUGACUUACUUCUAAAGGAUAAAUGUGCAAAUAUUUGUUGGGAGAUUGAGGUAUCUAACGUGUUAAAAUUGAAAGUACCCAUUUUCCUUAAAUUUGUUGGUUUUAAGAAUAAUUUCUUACUCGAUCUCCUCUAGAUAAAUAGAAUCCCGUCUUUGCAUAUGUUUAAAUGCAUUUUCUUAAACAAUUUUUGUUUGGAUAUCAUUCAACAUGGCGACACACUUUAAUUAUAUAAAUUAUACAACCAUACUGUUAGGUGCUUCAUCCCUACAAGUUGUUGAGUGGUUAGUCUUCAGUAGAACUUGUGCUUUCUCUUCCUUCUCCCUUUCCUCUCUAACUUUAUAUAUUGUGUUUUGCAGAAUGCAGAACACUACUAAAUUUUUUUUUAGAAGAAAGUGAAGAGAGGUUGCAAAUAACAAGGUUAGUUAUUAGUGUUUGUAUGUCUCUAGAUAUGCUAGUUUAUCAAUGCGUUUAAUUAACUUGUCAGGAAACCAAGCAAGUGAAUCCAGCUUCCGCCUCGAGUCCAAGUAAUAGUAGGCCCUUUUUUAACGGUAGAUGAAUCAAAAUCACUAGUUGUUCAUAUUCCUGCACAAUUCAGAGAAAAAAUGUCCCCCCAAACCUUGUUUUGAUGCGUUGAGUUUAAUUAACUUUUCAGGCAAGGCCCUCUGGACCUUUAACCAUUACCUCAUUUCUAACUGUCCAUGUUACCCAUAACGUAACGUAACAUAACAUAUGGUAGCAUGGACCACACUUUUUUUCCAGCACAAACCUAAGCACUUUUAGCCAUCAUUCAUCAUUGUACCAUUUUUUCUUCUUUUGCUAAUACACUGCUCAGGUAGACCUCCCAUGAAGCUUGAUCUGCUUUUGACAGUUCCUUACAUAGUUUGUUGACAAAGAGACAUUUAAAAUAAGGUUGCUAUGCAUUAGUUUUACUUAGCCUUCUCACUUUAUGCUAACAACUAAUCGUUUAAAAAUAUAACUAAACUCUCCCACUUAGUUUAAGAAGGUUGAUCAAUAUGCUCAUUUCUAAUGAGCUUGUCUUAGAAAAUCUUUUAGUUAAGAGAUAUCUAGAACUGGUGGGCAUGUAUUAGGGCUUAAAGGUGACAUUUUUCUGAAAAUUGACAUUAAAGUUUGGAUAUUGUAUAUUAUUUUUUGUCAAUAGUCAAUACUAUUUUAUUGAUAUUGGUGCUUAUUAUUUCUACAUGUGAUCUUACAAGGUUGUGCUCUCUACGGCGCCUAAAAGAACUCUUAUGGCAAGCAACUUCAGACUUCAAUAGUUGACACUUGGCAAGCGAAUACACAUAAGUGACAAGCGAAUAAUUCACUGAAAUUAGUCAAAAGGUAUGUGCAGAAUUUAUCAAUAUUGGUUAUGACAAGUGAUUUCACAUCUUUUAAUCUUGAACUGCUGGUUGUCCUAUCUUGAUCAAUUGUUUUAUUUUAUAAUGGCAAAUCGUUUGUACUGUUUGUUGAAAUCAUAUAUUUUCUUAAUGGAAACUGUACAUUGGAGUCAUCCUCCCCCCUCUCACUUUUUUCAUUUCUCUUUAUCAGAAAGUUUAUUUAUUAUUACUUUGUUUUUUUAAUUUAAGUUCAAUUAUCAUUUGCUAGCAGUCCCAUUGUAGUUGGUUGAGGAAUUUGCUUGUCUCAAAUGGUAGAAACCCAUCCUAACUUUAAAAGCAUUCGAAUAUGUAUUUUGUCCAUUCUUCAUGAGUAUCUUAUCUUCUUUUUUUUUUUUUUUUUUUUUGAGUGGAAUAUAACCGUAUUUCUUUAAUAGUGGAAACUUAAUAAAAGUACAUGUUACUCAUUCUAGUAGCAAUAUGUACGUAAAAUUUGACUUGGGGGUUUAGUAAUCAUUGUUGGUUCUAUUUAUCUGAAGUAGAUCCAUCCUUCGGUCUUUUGCCAUUUAUCAAUUUACUUAUUAACGGUACCCUUAGUCUUUUGCCACUUUCCAAACAAAAUAUGUAUACAGUUAAUACCAAUUUCUUAAUUUCUCUGUUUUACUAGGGAUAUUGAAACUUAUUUCCUUUAUAAUUGAACGAGUUGGUCUUUAUAUUCCAGAUGAAGAAGUUGAAUAGGAAGAAUAACUACUCAAAGAAUGACAUGGACAAUUUCGUCUUGAGGUUAUUGACUACUUUCUUAUAGAUGUCUGAAAGAAUAGAUGAAGAGAGGAAUAAUGUUUUUUUGUUUAGCUUGAUGUAUCAAAUUUUGUUAAGUUCUUAAGGCUGUCAGUCUAUUUGUGAAUCUUGUAAUUUUUUUUCCAAUUCAAUUUGAAGAAAUGUGUAUUCAAUAGAAUAAAUAUGUUCUAUUUAAUGGUAUAUUUGUUUCUAUAGCAUAGUGGAUAUGAAUUGUAAUUCCUA